UACGGAGGGUGCAAGCGUUGUUCGGAUUUAUUGGGCGUAAAGCGCGUGUAGGCGGUCUCUUAAGCCUGAUGUGAAAGCCCUGGGCUCAACCCAGGAAGUGCAUUGGAUACUGGGAGACUUGAAUACGGGAGAGGGUAGUGGAAUUCCUAGUGUAGGAGUGAAAUCCGUAGAUAUUAGGAGGAACACCGGUGGCGAAGGCGGCUACCUGGACCGAUAUUGACGCUGAGACGCGAAAGCGUGGGGAGCAAACAGG
rnacentral:rRNA from 1 species